rnacentral:lncRNA from 1 species
AGCAAUCCGCUCCGGUCCGCUUUUGCGCUGUGGUAGCCUUGUUCUUUCGCUCUUUGCACUAACUCUUGCUACUGCUCACUUUUUGGGUCCACACUGCCUUUAUGAGCUGUAACACUCUCUGCGAAGGUCUGCAGCUUCAUUCCUGAAGCCAGCGAGACCGCGAGCCCACCGGGAGGAACGAACAACUCCAGACGCGCUGCCUUAAGAGCUGUUAACACUCACAGCGAAGGUCUGCAGCUUCACUCCUGAGCCAGCGAGACCACGGGCCCACCGGGAGGAAGGAACAACUCCAGACGCGCUGCCUUAAGAGCUGUAACACUCACCGGGAAGGUCUGCAGCUUCACUCCUGAGCCGGCAAGACCACGAACCCACCAGAAGAAAGAAACUCCGAACACAUCUGAACAUCAGAAGGAACAAACUCCAGACACGCCGCCUUCAAGAACUGCAACACUCACCGCGAGGGUCCGCGGCUUCAUUCUUAAAGUCAGUGAGACCAAGAACCCACCAAUUCCGGACACAGUAGGACAGGUCUGGUGUUGAUAAAAUCCUUCAAUUUUUGUUUGUCUGGGAAAGUCUUUAUUUCUCGUUCAUGUUUGAAGUAUAUUUUCACCAGAUAUACUAUUGUAGGGUAAAAGUGUUUUCCUUCAGCACUUUAAAUAUGUCAUGCCACUCUCUCCUUGCCUAUAAGGUUUCCACUGAAAAGUCUUGCUGCCAGACAUAUUGGAGCUCCAUGGUGUUUUUGUUUGUUUUUCUCUCUUGCUGCUUUUAGGAUCCUUUAUACUUGAUCUUUGAGAGUUUGAUUAUUAAAUGCCUUAAGGUAGUCUUGUUUAGGUUAAAUCUGCGUGGUGUUCUAUAAACUUCUUGUACUUGGAUAUUGAUAACUUUCUCUAGGUUUAGGAAGUUCUCUAUUAUCCUUUUGAAUGACAUUUCUACCCCUAUCUCUUUCUCUACUUCCUCUUUUAAGGCCAAUAACUUAGAUUUACCUUUUUGAGGCUAUUUUCUAGAUCCUGUAGGUGUGCUUCAUUAUUUUUUAUCCCUUUUUUUUUUGGUGGUCUCUGACUAUUUUCAAACAGCCUAUCUUUAAGCUAACUAAUUCUUCUGGUUGAUUGAUUCUAUUGUUAAAAGACUCUGAUGCAUUCUUCAGUAUGGCAAUUGAAUUUUUCAGCUCCAGAAUUUCUGAUUCUUUUUCAUGAUUUCAAUAUCUGUUAAAUUUAUCUGAUGAAUUCCUUCUCUAUGUUAUCUUGAAUUUCUAUGAAUUUCCUCAAAACAACUAUUUUCAAUCCUCUGACUGAAAGUUCACAUAUCUCUGUAUCUCCAGGAUUGGUCCCUGGUGCCUUAUUUAGUUCAUUUGGUGAGGUCGUGUUUUCACGGAUGGUGUUGAUGCUAGUAAAUGCUCUUCAGUUUCUGGGCAUUGAAGAGUUAAGUAUUUUUUGCAGUCUUCACUGUCUGGACUUGUUUGUAUCCAUCAUUCUUGGGGAGGUUUUCCAGAUAUUUGAAAGGGCUUGGGUGUUGUGAUCUAAGUUGUAUCUGCUUCAGGGCACAACCCAAGCCCAGCAACACUGUGGUUGUUGCAGACUGACAGAGGUACCACCUUAAUCAUCUUGGACAAGAUCUGGGAGAAUUCUCUGGAUUACCAGAUAGAGACUCUUGUUCUCUUCCCUUACUUUCUCCCAAACAGAGUCUCUCUCUUUGUUCUGAGCCACAUGAAGCUGGGGGUGGAGUGAUACAAGCACCCUUGUGACCACCAUCACUAUGACUGCACUGGGUCAGACCUGAAGCCAGCAUAGCACUGGGUCUUGCUAGAGGCCUCCUGUAACCACUCCUUGGCUACUGCGUGUGUUUGCUCAAGGCUCUGGGGCUCUAUAAUCAGUAAGUGGCAAGCCAUUCGGGUCUGUAUUUUUCCCUUUAAUGUGGAGAGUUCCCCCAGGCUGUAUGCAGGUCCAGAGGUGCCAUCUGUCUUGACAGCCAGGGACUAGAAUCAAAAACCUAAGAAGUCUACCUGGUGCCGUAUUGUACUGUGGCUGAGCUGGCACUCGAACCACAAGACACAGUCCUUUUCACUCUUCCCUCCCCUUUCCAAAGGUAGGGCAGCCUCACCCUAUGGCCACUGCCACCUCAGGCCCACAGGGAGUAAUGCUAGACUACUGCCAAUGUUCCCUUAAGUCCUGAGGGCUCUUCAGUCAGCUUUUGGUGCAUGCUGCCUGGCCUGGGACUCACCCUUCAAGGCAGUGGGCUACCCUCUGGCCCAGGACAGGUCCAGAAAUGCCAUCCAAGAGCCAAGUCCUGGAAUUGGGGACCCCAAGAGCCUACUUGGUGCUCUACCCCUGUGGCUGAGCUGGUAACUAAAGUCAGCAGGUCUCAGAGUCUCACCCAAGGCCCUUGAUGUAGUAUCUGGGUAUCACUGGUGUUUAUUCAGGGCCCAAGGGCUCUUCAGUGAGCAGGUGAUGAAUGCUGCCAGGACUGGGUCCUUUCCUUCAAGACAGUGGGUUCCCUUCUGGCCCAGGGUAUGUCUAGAAAUGCCCAGAAGCUAAGGUCUGGAAAGGCAGCAUCAUGACUCUGACCCAUGCCCUAUUCUUCUGUGGCUGAGUUGGUAUCUAAGAUGUAAGAUAAAGUCCUCCCCACUAUUCCUUCUCCUCACCUCAAGCAAAAGGAAGGGGUCUAUUCUGGAGCCACAAGCUGUGCUUCUUGGGGUUAGGAAAGGGGUGAUGCCAAGCACUCCCUUAGUCACCCCAACUGGUGUCUCAGUAUGUCUCCUGCUCCCCCAGUCCACUGUCUCUGGGUCCAAUUCAGUACUAGGAGUCUCCUAGGAGUUGUAGUCCUUGUGGCCUAGACUGCCUUUCAAGUUUAUUUAAAGCCCCAGAGCACUUUAGCCCAUGGUGGUGAGGCCUGUGGGAACUAGAGUUCUGAUCUCUGGGAUCAGUGAUUCCCCUCUGGCUAGGGCUGGUUUAAAUGCUCCCUCUGUGGGCGGGUGUCAGCUGAGUUUGGUCUGGUUUUCCUUUCUGCUAUAACAAGGGCAGCACCUAGUCAAUGCAUCACAAUUACUGGGUUCUCCCUUCCCCAGAGCCCAGAGAUACUCUGGGCACCAUGGGCCCCUGCUGGGGGUGGGGGAGGGGUGGCGCUGCGCAGUUGAUUCAAGACUGUUUUUUCUUUUACCUCUUUAGUGCCUCUUUCAGCCAUACGAAGUUAAAACCAGGUACUGUGAGUGCCCACGUUUUUUGGUUCUUAUGAAGGUGUACAUAAUUGUUAAAUUGGUGUCCUUGCAGCAGGGGUUGGGGGACAGGACAGAUCAGUGGAGCUUUCUACCAUCUUGCUCUACCUCCUCCCUAUUUUACAUUUUGAUAACCACCAUUCAGUGGCCUCCCUUGGG